rnacentral:rRNA from 1 species
GUCCAACGUUAAUCGGGGCAGGGUGAGUCGACCCCUAAGGCGAGGCAGAAAUGCGUAGUCGAUGGGAAACGGGUUAAUAUUCCCGUACUGGUGAUAAUUGCGAUGGGGGGACGGAGAAGGCUAGGCUGGCCGGGCGACGGUUGUCCCGGUUUAAGGAUGUAGGCAGGUGAAUUAGGCAAAUCCGGUUCACUAUAUGCUGAGGUCUGAUGACGAGUCACUACGGUGGCGAAGUAGCUCAUGCCCCGCUUCCAGGAA